ACGGCUCAGUAACACGUCGAUAACCUUCCUUUAGGUCUGGGAUAACCUCGGGAAACUGAGGCUAAAACCGGAUAGGAGAUUCUGGCUGGAACGCAUUAUCUCUUAAAAGCAAUGCCUAAAGAUGGGUCGGUGGCUGAUUAGGCUGUUGGUGAGGUAAUGGCUCACCAAACCUAUGAUCAGUAGGGGGAAUGAGAGUUCUAGCCCCGAGAAGGACACUGAGACAAGGGUCCUAGCCCUAAGGGGUGCAGCAGGCGCGAAAACUUUACAAUGCACGCAAGUGUGAUAAGGGAAUCCCAAGUGCCUAUUCUUUUAGAGUAUGCUUUUGCUAAGUGUAAGUAGCUUGGCGAAUAAGUGGUGGGCAAGACCGGUGCCAGCCGCCGCGGUAACCCCGGCGCCACAAGUUGCAAUCACGAUUAUUGGGUCUAAAGCGUCCGUAGCAGGCUUGUUAAGUUUCUUGUGAAAUUGUUGUGCUUAACACAACAACGUGCAAGAAAUACUGACAAGCUAGGGACCGGGAGGAGUUAGUGGUACUCAAGGGGGAGUGGUAAAAUAUGAUAAUCCUUUGGGGACCGCCAGUGGCGAAGGCGACUAACUAGAACGGGUCCGACUGUGAGGGACGAAAGCUAGGGGAUCAAACCGGAUUAGAUACCCGAGUAGUCCUAUGCUGUAAACGCUGCGAGCCAUGUGCUGCAUGUUCUUUGUGGACGUGCAGUGCCGUAACGAAGGUGUUAAGCUCGCCACCUGGGAAGUACGGUCGCAAGUCUGAAACUUAAAGGAAUUGGCGGGGGAGCAC
rnacentral:rRNA from 1 species